UACGGGGGGGGGCAAGCGUUGUUCGGAAUUACUGGGCGUAAAGGGCUCGUAGGCGGCCAACUAAGUCGGACGUGAAAUCCCUCGGCUUAACCGGGGAACUGCGUCCGAUACUGGAUGGCUUGAGUAUGGGAGAGGGAUGCGGAAUUCCAGGUGUAGCGGUGAAAUUCGUAGAUAUUCGGAGGAACACCAGUGGCGAAGGCGGCUCACUGGUCCAUUACUGACGCUGAGGUGCGAAAGCGUGGGGAGCAAACAGG
rnacentral:rRNA from 1 species